GUGGCGCACGGGUGCGUAACGCGUGGGAACCUGCCCUUAGGUUCGGAAUAACUCAGAGAAAUUUGAGCUAAUACCGGAUAAUGUCUUCGGACCAAAGAUUUAUCGCCUUUGGAUGGGCCCGCGUAGGAUUAGAUAGUUGGUGGGGUAAUGGCCUACCAAGUCGACGAUCCUUAGCUGGUCUGAGAGGAUGAUCAGCCACACUGGGACUGAGACACGGCCCAGACUCCUACGGGAGGCAGCAGUGGGGAAUAUUGGACAAUGGGCGAAAGCCUGAUCCAGCAAUGCCGCGUGAGUGAUGAAGGCCUUAGGGUUGUAAAGCUCUUUUACCAGGGAUGAUAAUGACAGUACCUGGAGAAUAAGCUCCGGCUAACUCCGUGCCAGCAGCCGCGGUAAUACGGAGGGAGCUAGCGUUGUUCGGAAUUACUGGGCGUAAAGCGCACGUAGGCGGCUUUUCAAGUCAGGGGUGAAAUCCCGGGGCUCAACCCCGGAACUGCCCUUGAAACUGGAUGGCUAGAAUACUGGAGAGGUGAGUGGAAUUCCGAGUGUAGAGGUGAAAUUCGUAGAUAUUCGGAAGAACACCAGUGGCGAAGGCGACUCAC
rnacentral:rRNA from 1 species